UUCCUGGCGAUCCAGUGGUUAGGACCCGGUGCUUCCACUGCAAGGGGCCUCGGUUCAAUCCCACCAGCCACUGAGCCA
rnacentral:tRNA from 1 species